CUGGUCGCUGGCGAUUGUCGUU
rnacentral:siRNA from 1 species